rnacentral:tRNA from 1 species
GGUGGCUCAAUGGUAGAGUGCAUGCCUAGCAUGCAUGAGGCCCUAGGUUCAAUUCCUCAGCACCA